GCAUGUCAGGACAAGCUGGCGGUGGCAUCUGUUACUCUAUUGAUCGGCAGUGCUUGUUCAAAAGCUUUGGCCAGUUGAGUGGGGUCUCCUUUCUCCUCACCUAUCUACAUGUGUUCCCCUAAGGCUACAUUCCAGCUGAAGACACAGGAGAUUUGAAAUUGAAGGAGUAGCAUUCUUCAAUGCCAGGACAUUAUAAGCAAACUUUCUAUCAUUACUGCUGGAAGAAUCAAACAGAGGUCAGUUUAGUGAGGCUAGAAGGGACUUCUGUCCAGAAGGAAAAAAUAUCAUUUAGUAAAUGCACUAAAG
rnacentral:sRNA from 1 species